rnacentral:rRNA from 1 species
GACGAACGCUGGCGGCGUGCCUAAUACAUGCAAGUAGAACGCACAGUUUAUACCGUAGCUUGCUACACCAUAGACUGUGAGUUGCGAACGGGUGAGUAACGCGUAGGUAACCUGCCUGGUAGCGGGGGAUAACUAUUGGAAACGAUAGCUAAUACCGCAUAAUAUUAAUUAUUGCAUGAUAAUUAAUUGAAAGGUGCAAUUGCACCACUACCAGAUGGACCUGCGUUGUAUUAGCUAGUAGGUGAGGUAACGGCUCACCUAGGCGACGAUACAUAGCCGACCUGAGAGGGUGAUCGGCCACACUGGGACUGAGACACGGCCCAGACUCCUACGGGAGGCAGCAGUAGGGAAUCUUCGGCAAUGGACGAAAGUCUGGCCGAGCAACGCCGCGUGAGUGAAGAAGGUUUUCGGAUCGUAAAGCUCUGUUGUAAGAGAAGAACGGGUGUGAGAGUGGAAAGUUCACACUGUGACGGUAUCUUACCAGAAAGGGACGGCUAACCACGUG